rnacentral:lncRNA from 1 species
AUAGUUUAGCAUGGAAAUAAAGAUAACAAAAAAUUAAAAUUUUCAGGAUUUAAAUAACUAAAACAAAGAUCAAAAUUAAAAUAGAAAAUUAAAGAAAAAUAAAAUCUAUAAACACUACGAAGAAAAAUUGUUUGCUUCACACAAAAGAAAUUAUCCAGGAACUAUGCACUAUGAACAAAUAUUUCCAGCUUGGAUUAUUGAACAGGAGAACUGAGUGAAUAAUUCUAUCAUUAACCUUUGACAUGAUAAAAGAACUAAAUUAGGGAUUCCAUCCUCCCUCCCCACCAGACCAAUGACUAAAUCUCAAGGCUAAUUGGACUUGCAAUGGUAAUCAUCCCUUG